rnacentral:lncRNA from 1 species
GCAUGUCAACUGAGUAUCUAAUAUCAUCAAAGGUGAUAGAAAGUGGUUGGAAUGGAAGAACCAUUCCUUUUUUGUUGUUACGUCUAGCCUCAGCAAUGGCUUCUGCCCUCACAGAUGAGGAUGUGGAUGAGAUGCUUCUCCCAAUUUCGUCUCUCCUCUCUGCAUGUUAAGUUUAAAAUUAGUGAGCCAUGUAAAACAUGUGGUUAAAUGACAAGAACAAAGGCACACAUGCACCAUGAAUGAGUUUCAUCACCUGUGGAUGCAGUUUGGUCAAUCGAGCCUCGUCUAUGGGAUGAUAACUCGAUCUUCCCUCCAGUUUUGGAAUUCUCAGACUCUUCUGUUAUAACAGCUUGAGGCUUCUCAAAUGCUGCACAAUUUGCACAAAUCUUAGUACACUAAUCUCCAAUAUUUUAGGAUUUUCAACACAGAGAAUGUAAGGAUACCCACCAUUUAGGUAAGUGAGAGCCACAGUGUAACAGAAGUUGAAGACUAAAAUGAAUCCAAGCAGUGCCCCAGCUCCUAUCCAGUACCAGUAUGCCUCUGUGAAGAACCCGCGAGACUUCAAUACUGCUACUCCAAGGGAUUCUGUUGAAUCGGUUGAAGAAUUCUGAAAAAUGGAAAUACAUUCAAUCAUCAGUUACUGACACAAAUAAACACAAAUAUUCACAUGAAACAUUCAUAAACUUACUUUGCUCCAACUCUUCCCAAGGAAUUCAUUUACCACUAUUGCGUUCUGUGCAUACAUCAGAGGGGAAGACCAGUAACCCCAAAUCCACCAUUUCUUGACAUUUUCUACAGCAAUGACCAAAUACAAGAAGGAAACAAAAAUUCAUUAUUAGGGUUUAUGAACAAGAAGGUCCUAGUUUCCUAAAAAAAAUCUUUCCUCCUUAUACCUCGUGACAGGACAAAACCACCCAAUGCAAAGAGCAAAAGUAAUGAAAAUGACCCAAAUGUGUUUGCAACAAUCAUGUUUCUACCAGCUGCUGCAAUAAAUCGAAACAAUGCAGAUGCCAUCUGAUUAACAAGCACGAGGAGAAGAUAUUGUUUAAACAACCUGCAAUAAGAAGAUUUGUUUAUUAGCAUUGAUCAUUUUGGAACAAAGAAAACAUUUGAAACAAAUCUGGACAUGUUUCUUUUACCUUCCCACAUUUGGAUCAAAUCCAAUGACAUAAUAAGACAUGAACACCCAAACAGCAACUUCAACAAAUGUGAUGGGGAUCUUGAGGAUCCAUGAGGGGAGUGCAUACGCCCAUGCAGGGUAGAAUAGUAGGCCUCUUUGCUUGUAAAAGACAGGAAGUUUUGCAAUGGUCAUGGCAAGUUCUGACAUUCCAUUAAACAUGAUCAUGACAACAGUGAAGAACAAAGCACCCGUGUAAAUGCUUCCAUCAUCUGUUGAAUUUUUGUGCAUCUCAGUUCUUAGGAAGAUUGUCAUGGAAAUUGCUGCCAUUAUUAUGAGCUAAAAGAAGAAACAAAAAUAAUAAAUUACGAUCAAAUGUACAAAAUUGAAAGCCAUUGUUAUAAGUAACAACAAUAAUAAUACUCACUUGGGUGAGCUUGAAAAUAUAGACAAAUGAAUUCCUCUUCAUCAGCAAGUACUCUCUUGAGAUGCAAGCAUCCAACAGUUCCUUCUUUCUAACACCAUAUUUUUCAGUUUUCAAAGCAGCUGGGUGGCUUUUGGUCUUGUCGAAUGGAGUUGCAAGCUCAUGUCCUAGUUUCCGUCCAAUGUGAAAUGACUGGAAUGCCUCGGCAAAUUCCUUGACUGUGACAAAACUGUAAGGCUCAUCUUUACGUGCCCAAUACUGCUGCUGAUCUUUCCUAGAUGUUACCUGUAAUGAAUUUUAAAAUUCAUGUUCUAGCUUGAUUUUUUCUAAAGAAGGAAAAAAAAAUUGAGAAGAUGCCUAAAGGUACAAAACUAUUAGCACUCACUUCUUGUAGGAAGUCUGCCACACCCUUCCUUUCAGGACAUCUGAAGCCCAUGGAUUCAAAAAAGUCAAGAACGUCUUCACGAGGACCCUGAUAAACAAUCUGGCUAUCAGAGAGGAGAAUGAUGUCAUCAAAAAGAUCGUAAGUCUCAGGUGCUGGCUGGAGGAGAGAGAUGAGAGCAGUCCCAUUGAGAAUGUGGAUGGUUUGCCUGAGAGAAUUCACGAUUUGAUAAGUUGUCGAGCUAUCCAACCCAGUAGAGAUCUCAUCCAUGAACAGUGCCUUCGAUGGUCCAACCAGCAUCUCCCCUGUCAUUCAUAUAUUUCACAGUUGAAUUAACUUAAAUUAAUGAACGAAAAAAUCUAAUUUAUUUUAUUUGGUUGGAAACCAAAUUAUCCUACCAGUUGUGACACGCUUCCGUUGUCCUCCAGAGAUACCCCUUAUCAUUUGAUCUCCUACCAAGGUGUCUGCACAGACUUCUAGUCCCAGAAUCUGUAAAUUUAAGUGUAAAUGAAAAUAAACAAAUUAUGACUUAGAAUUGGGUUUUCUCAGAAAUCUGCAUUCCAUCAUUGAAAGUUCUAUGGUUAUGAUACCUUCAGUGUAUAGUCAGUGAUUACAUUCUCCUUCUGGCCUUCCGUUGCCACUGCCUGAAAUAUUAAAAACCAAUAAUGUAAAUCUCACUCACCAUCAAACCAAUAAGUACCUUAAGAAAUUCCAAGGAUAAGAGAUUUUGCUCUGCAGAACUGGUUAAAAUUUCACUCAAAGUAGCUUCUGUCUCACCUUCAUGAAGACAUCGAUAUCAGGAUCAGGCUUAAUAUUUGCUGCCUUCUCUCUUCUUGAGAGCUCUGCUAACAUGUCUGCGAAUAGCCAAAUAAAAGUCAACCUCCUGGCUUAUGCAAAUUUCAUAUAACUAAAUUCACAAGCUUCAAAAACAAAGAAAAUAAAAGUAAAAGGCAAUGAAUGGUUUAGACCAACCAUAUCGAUCUCCAACACCCUGGCAUCUUGCAGAGAAGGCCAAGGUUUCCCGUACAGUCAUUUCUCCUAUAUGGGUAUCAUGUUGGCUGAUGUAGGUUGCAGUUCUCUGGGGUACAAAUUCAUUCAUGCCAUGACCAUUGUAUGUCACCUUUCCCGUAACCUAAAAGCAGGAAUUUCAGUUUCCAAAUUGGAUAUGAGAUUAAACAGCUAAAAAUUGAAUAUUCAUUAAAGAACAAAAGCAAUAAUUUUUUUUUCAUUCAACCUUUAGACUGGAAUCAAGCUUUCCGGACAAAGCCAAUAAGAGAGUGGUCUUUCCAGAACUUGGAGGACCCAAAAGCAAUGUCAUUCUGCAGAAAAAAAAUAUGCACAAAAGAUUGAGUAUGGAUCUUCAGGAUAUUCUAAAUUGGAGAAAGUAAAAAAAUCCAUUUGAUAGAUAUAUAUAUAUAUAUAUAUAUAUAUAUAUAUAUCUCAAUUAAUUUUUUUACAGAAAAAAAAAGAAAAAAAAUCAUAUUCUCACCUUCGAGGUUUGAUGAUUCCACUAACAUCGUGAAGAAUAGUGAGUUUCUUCUUUCUACUCGGAAGAAUCCGAAGAGUGUUCAAGAUAUCCUUUAAAACAGAAAGAAAAAUUAUAAUCUAAAAACAAACUUUCCCAAGAGAGUAUUUAUUGCUUAGCUAGUGAUCUGUAUUUGCAUUUUAGUUACCUCAAUUUGAUUAAAAGCAGAAUAAAUGAAUGAAGGCAAAGCUCUGCUUCCUACAUGAGCUUCUGCAUCAAUGGUAAGAUGCUCAAAUCUAACUUCAAUUUCGGGAAGAUCAAUCCCAACUCUGAAAAAUGAAAUAGACAUGCAAACCCAUUACUAAAAAGUCAAAGGAAGAUGUUUGGUUGUGAAGAAAAUGCAGGACUAUCAGUCACAUUUAAGGUGGAUUCUUUCUUUUCCACUGUUUUCAAUGUUAAAAAAGAAAAAGAAAAACGGCAAGAAAGGCAAGAGAAGAGGAGAAAUCGCACCUAUCUAUGCGAUUCCUGAGCUUCAACAAGAACUUCUCAUUGUCCUCUUCGGCAAUUUUCACCAACCGCUCCACUAAAUUCUUCUUUUCCUGAAACCCAAGGUUGUGUAUAUCAACUUCACUGGCCUCACCCGCCGAACCCAUCAGCAAGCCUUUCCUCAUCCGAUUGUAGGUGGGAAGUUUCUCGAGGGCGGCCCAUUUCAAAGCUUCCUCAUCAUCUUCAUCCCUCGAAGAACGGGAGAAAACCUCCUCACCAGAGUUCCUCCAUAUGGAAGAACUGUCCUUCCUUAAACUACCACCGGCUCUAUAAAUUUCACCUGUUGCCAUUGCAACACGAAACGAGGAACCCUCCUGCAAAACCCACCAAAACCCAGAAACCUUUCCUACAAAUUAGGGAGAACAAACCCAAAUUUUGAACUCUAGAGCUGAAAAGCUCAAAAUAAGAGAUGGUUCCCCUCCCGCUUUUCCCUGUGCAUGCAAUUGAUUCCGUCUCUUUGUAUUGCUAAAACUUUGUUGUAUGUUGGAAAAACACGAAGAAUGGAAGGUUUAUAUACUGAUUGGAAGAACAGAAAAAUGAGGCCACCCAUAAUUUUCAAGACUACUAAACGUCUUCGUAAUCGCAAUCGUAACUGCUGUUGUAUGCAAAUGCCACGAUGUUUGACCCUUCAAAGUCUUAUUUCACAAUUCGUAAUUUUCAGAUUUCCAGUACCUUGUUUGUCAAGGAACUCAAUAAUCAUUAAAUGUUUCCCAACUGCCAAACCAACUAACUUUCCCGCCCGCCGAAAUUGCACUGUGAAAGAUUUAUAGCAUUUUAUUUAUACUCUAGUUUAAUGACAUGAGACUUUCGGUUUGGAUUGCCUAUAUUAUUUUUAGUAAUUUACCUUAUAUCUUUAAAAUUAUUUCAAAAAAAAAACCCAUAAUAUUAAUUAUUAUAUAAGUUGGAUUUAUUAAAUAUUAAAUAACAUAUAAAUUAAUAUUAAUCAUAAAUUCCCAUAAUAUUAAUAAUUACAAAAGAGUACAUUUAUCAAAAAUUAAAUAAUAUAUAAAUUAAUAUAAUUGUAUAAUCAAUUCUAAAUUACACAUUAUUUAAUUAAAUCUAAAAAUAUUUUUAAAAUAUCAAAAUCAAGCCCUAAAUAACUCACCACUUUUUAAAAAAUAUUUAAUAAAAUAUCAAUUAUUUAUCUUCUUAUUAUUUUUUUAUGAUAUAUAGUAGAAUUUAAAGUGAAAUUUUAAAUUAACACACCAAAAAUUGUUUUAGAAGGAAAAAAAAUAUUUUUUUCUGAUAAUAUUUUUUAAAAUAUAUAUAUUUUUAGUCUAAAAUAUUUUUAAAGAAAAAAUCAACCUUUUGAUCAAAUUUUAAAAUAUUAUUAAAAAAUAAAAAUUAUUUAUAAUAUUAAAAAAAUUCAAAAAAAAUAUUUUAAUAAAAACAUUUUAAGUAGAAAUACUAUUUCGUAAGAUACAAGAUAAGAAUCGCACAUAAAAGCAUUAUAAAUUAUUAGAAUCGCAUCGCAUAAAUCAUACUAAAUCUAACAACUAACCAAACUCAUCCUCUCUAAAUUUCAAUUUGGUCUCUUCUCAAUUUAUUUUUGGAUUGCUUUUCAUCUAGAAAUAGCAACCACAUAAAGCAUAGGCCAAAUACUCUAAAAAUAGGUAGAUUUCUCAUUUCUCACAUGUAGCAUCUAGAAAAAAAAACCGGUAGGGUUGGCAGAAAUAUAGGAACCACAUAAAGCAUAGGACAGAUGUUAUAAAGAUAGGCAGAUUUCUCACAUGUUAGCAUCUAGAAAAAAAAACGGGUAUGGGCUGGCAGAAAUAUAGGAAGGUGGUGGUGUGUAACCAAGACUUUCAUUAUCCAAAUUCACAUUCUUAUGGGAAAAACGUGAUUGACUUCGACACUUGAAAAAAAAAAAACAAUGGAAAGAAAAAGGGAAAUCAUCUACCCAAAUACUUGAAUGAUGAAAUCAAAUCUUUGAUCAUAUCUGCUAGUUUGGAAAGUUCAGUUUGACAACUACAUUGAAGAAGAAAAAAAAAAUUAAAACAUUACAGGUUGUUUGUGAUUUAAAAAUAAUUUUUAAUUUUUUAAGAUUUUUAAUAUUAUUUUUGUCAUUAUUUUUCGAAAAUAAUAAUAAUUUUUAAAAAAUAAGAGUUAUUUUUAUCGAUUUUUAAAAAUAAAAAAAAAAUAUAGAUCUGUUUGAUCAUAUUUUCUUAAACUUAUUUUUAAAUUGAUUAAAAUAAAAAAAUAAAAAAAAUAUUAAAAAUACAUAUAAAAAUGGUUUAUUAAUUUAAAAUAUUUUUUAUUUUUUAUCUUCUAUUUUUUCUCAUUAUUUCAUUUUCAUUUUCCACUUCAAAAUUUUCAAUAUUCAACUAUUGAAUUCCGUACACUUUUUUUUUUAAUGAAAAAGAUGAGUUUUGACUUUUGACACUUUUUCAAAAAAGAUGCGUUUUGAUCCCUUCCCUAUAAUAAUAAAAAAAGAAAUAGUAAAUUUAUUGACGUCACUCCAUGCAUCAUCUUCCUUAAAAGUACAAAUCGUCCUCCUCUUCUUCUCUUACUAUGUUUUUUUUUUGUUUUCAAUUUAUUUAAAGAAAAAAAAAAAUCUUUGGUGUCCGGUGGAAUCAAUCGAAUGAACGAGUGGCUUCUAUUAUUACAAAUUUGAAAAUUUGGCUUAUUUUAUUUUUAAAUAUAGAAAAAAGGCUACAUGAUAACUCCAUAAUAUAUGGAACAUGCAUAUGCCACCCUUUUUGACCCUUCAAAUUCUUAUGUUCUCCGUUCAUAAUUUUCACGUGUGUUCAAGGAAGUAGGCAAGCCUACGUUAAACAAUAAAAAAGAUGUUUUAAAUUUUACCAAAAAAAAAAAAAGUCAAAGGAUUUUUUCAAAAGAAUCUUAAGAAGUAAUUGGACAUCUCAAUAAGAAAUUUUUAAAACUAUAAAUGUAAAAUAUUUUGUUGGCAUUUUAUUUAUAAUUUAAUAAACGUUUUCAAACUUUGGGUUUUUGGAUUACAUGUUUGGAUUAGUAAUUGAAAUGUUGGGAAAUAUCAACGAGGUUCGCCAUGAAUAUGGGAUCAAAAGUCAAUAAACGAUGUUUCAUUAGUUAAGGUUGCUGGCUCUCUUGGUCAAACUCCCUAAAAAAAGUUUAAGUUCCAAAAGGUUUGGGUUGAAGCUUGGCUACCACUAGGGUGAAUUCAAUUAAUAUAUGUGCACAAGUAUAUAUUAAAAUCCAUUAUUAAAAAAAUAUUUUAAUAAAUAAAUUAAUUCUACUUAUUUUAUUUAAUUGAUUACUAAAAUAUAAAAACCAUCAUUAUAAUUUUUUAACAAGACUUUUUUUUAUAUCAUUUAUGUGAUAAUUAAAUAUUAAAAAUAUAAAUAGGAUAAAAAAAUGCAUAUAAUUUUGAAUGUUUUUAUUUUAAAAUAUUGAAAAUAUAAAUUUAUUUGAAAAUUGUUAAAAUAUAAUAAUAAUAAUAAUAAUAAUAAUGAAGUUCUAAUAUUUUAUAAAUUAAAAUUAAUUUAAUAAGAUAAAUUAUUAAUAUAAUUUUAAUUAUUUAAAUAAAUCAAUGUCAAUAGCAAAAAGUUGUCACCAUAAGUAAUAAAAUUUUAAAAAUUAAAACUCAAAUAAAAUAUUUUAUAUAAGUCUUAAAAUGUAGUUAAUUUUUUUUAUUUGAAAUGUAAUAAAAUUUUUAAUUUUUAAAAUAAAUGAAUAUAAAUAUAUUAAAGGAAUUUGAGAUCAUUUUUUCUAUAAAAAAAUUUGAUAAAUAUUGUCCUUGACCAUACCUAUGUUAGUUACACCUACAAAAUAACUUUAACAUAUGUUUUUUUACUUAUUUUAUCAUUUAAAACUUUUUUAAAUAUUUUCAUGAAUUUUGAACAAUUUUCGUCUUAUCGAUAUUUCUGAUAUAUCCAUAAAAUUCAAAUACUGAUAUAUUCGUAAAAUCCAAUUAUUGAUAUAUAUAUACAUGUUUAUAGAUAUUUUCAUCUUUGCUUUGGAUGCAUUUUUCUAUUUUUUGUUUUUAAAUAGAAUACUUUAAAUGUAGAGAAAAAUAUAGGAAUUCUUAUAUAAAAAGUAGGUACAUAUCUUGUAUACAUAAAAACACUUUUUAAAUUUUAAAUAAGUAAACAUUUUCACUUCCAAAAAAUUUUAAAGUUUUGAAAAAAAAAUUAAAAUAUAAAGUAAAUUUGGACUUUUUGUAUAAGAGUUGUUAUAUUUUAUAUAGAAAUUUUUAUUUUUAAAAAUAAAAAAUAAGAAGUGUAUCUAAUAGCUAGACACCUAAAGUAUUUUUUUUACAAUUUUAUUUAUACUCUAAUCUAAUGUUUAUAGAUUGAGUUUGUAUUCAAGUUUAUAUUAUGAUCGAUAUAUUAAGGGAUGAAGCUAAAGUAACUACCGAAAUGUUAUUUAGGUGAGAAAUUAUAAAAAUUAUGAUUGUAAUAAAUAUUUGAUAAAUUUUCAUAAUUUAAAAAGUAGUUAACAAUACCCCUCAUUAUUAUUAAACAAAAUAAAAAACAAUGGACAUUAAUUAUAAAAAGAAAAAGAAAAUAUAUCUUAUAUCAAAUUGAAUAAGAAAAAUAUUAAAUACAUUGGUCAAGAAUAUUUUAGAUUUUAUAAAUAAAAAAAAUCAAAAAAUUAAAAGAUUUUUUCUUCAAAAGAAAUUUAAAAAAAAAAAAGUUAAACAUUUCAAUAAGAAACUUCUAAUAAUUUUGUUUUAUUAAAAAAAUCCUAAAAAUAAAUUUUUAAAAAAAUCAAUAAUUCCACUUAUAAAUUUCUUCUCUUUUUCAAAUAGCUAAAGAUAAUUGACUGAGGAAACCUUUCUAAAAAUAUAGUUUGGUGAACUCCACAAGUAAACUAUGAAUAACUAAGAAGAGUUUCGGAGUUAUUGUUUGUAAUUUAUAAAUAUCAUAUUAAGUUAUACAAUUUUUAUAAUUAAAGUUAAAUUCAAUAUCUCGUAAUUUGAGUCAUUACAUAAGAUUGAAUUUAUCAAAUAUUAGAUAACAUAUAAAUUAAUAUUAAUCAUAAAUUCCCAUAAUAUGAAUCAUUACAUAAGAUUACAUCUAUCAAAAAUUAAAUAACAUAUAAAUUCAUACAAUUUUGUUGGCAAUUCUAAAUUAGUGAUUAUUUGAUUAAAUCUCAAAAAAAAAAAUUAAAAAGUCAAAAUCUAGCUAUAAAAAAUUCGCCACUGAAAAAAUUUAAUAAAAUAUUGUUAAAAUAACGAGAAUAGGUAAUUUAAAAAAAACACUAACAGACAAAAAACACAUAAAUUUACGUGAAAAACUCUAAAUGAGAAAAAACACAAGUAGAAAAGACAGAAAUCCAUUAUAUCAAAAUAUUGGUAUAAGAGGGAAAAGUUGCCAGCAAUUACAGAAGAAACAUAAUUAUCCUAAUCCUAAAACUAUACAUCAUCAUAAUCCUCCCAAAAAUCUCAUAAUUAUAGUUUCACUACAUAUGUUGUACCACAAGGUUUUUGAAUCGGAUUAAAUAGAAUUCGGAUUACCAAAUUCUAAUAAAUGUCAACGAUAAAGUUACAAAAAAUUUAUUUAUUAUAAAUUUUAUGGUAUAUAGUGGGAUUUAAAUAAAAUUAAUUAUAUAAAUUUUCAAUAAAAUUAAAUAAAAACAAAUAAAUCAUCGAUAAAACCUAUAUACAUUCAUAUUUAUUUACUUAUUUUUUUUAUUUUGAUCUUCAACAAGUUUUCAAAAAUAAAACAUUCAUUUUUUCAAAUAGAGUUCAAGUGUGACCAUGAUGCAUAUCACCUUUAUGAGAAUUGCAGGCCCACACUCAAAAUUUUAAAUAAAUAUUUUUAAAUAAUAAUAAUAAUAAUAACAACAAAAAGAAUAAUAAUUAAAUAAAUAAAUAUGAAAUGGGAAUUUCGGAAAAUUAUUCUAAAAUGAAAGUUUUAAAAUUAUUUGAGAAAUGGAAUUAUGAAAGGAGUUUUGGAAAAUUGGAGUUAGGAAAAUUGUUAAAAUAAUAAGAAAAUAAAUAAAAAGUCAAAAUCUUAAUGGGGCCAUGUGCCAAAGUGACCACACUUAGAGGUGGGCCAAGGUCGAAAAAGGUUUUCAAAUGAUGUUUGAACAUCCUGGCAGCCCAAAGAAAAAUAAAACAAAAUCUUGCAACGUGCACAUCCAUGAAUUUACAUCUGUGGCCCCACCAUUCAAUAUCACCGCCAAACCAGAAGAAAACCCACAAGUCCGCAGGCCGUCCUAUGCCAUCAGCAAUAAGCACAAGCUCUGAUUUCUCAAAUUACAAAAUAGCCCCACGGAAAGAAAUUCAAUUUCGAAUCUCCACCAAAAACUCCAAUAAUUGCCUAUCGACUUCACCCAAACUGCAAAACACUAAGGCUAUGUUUGAUUUCCGGAAAGUACGAAGGAAAGAAAAAAAAUGCUAAAGAAAAUGAUUUUCUCAUAUUUGAUUAUCCUAUGAAAAAUAUCAAAGAAAAUAAAAUAUAAUUAAAAUUAAUUAAAAAUUUAUAUAUUUUUAAAUUAUUUAAUCUUUAUAUUGAUGAGUUAAAAUAAAUAAAAUGAGUUUGAAGUAACAAAAAAAUAAUUUAUCAACUUUUAAUCUAUUUUUUUAUUUUUCUUCACUUUUUCUUUCCUUCUAGUUUUCCUUUGUAUUUUCUUUCCCUCGUAUUUUCCCUCAAAUUUUCCGGGAACCAAACAUAGCCUAAUAAUUCAACCACCCUCCAGACCACGCGUAGACGCUCCACUUCCACAUAUUUUGGCACGUAUUCUGUCAAGAUUAUUGGAUGCUGCCCAUGAGGCCUGUUAAUUAGUCGAAUGGUUCUCAACCGAGCCUAAAGCUUUGUCGAGUCAUAACCAGCUUCCCCGUGUUGUUGGCUCUCAGUGAGGGAUACUUCGGACUGAAGACCUCUCUACCAUAUCUCUCAUAAUGUAUCAUGGGCAGAGAAGCAAUGGAGAUUGGAUUGAUUCUUCUUGCUUUCAGGAGCUCUAUUAACUCCAAUUCCAACUUAACUGGAAAUUCCGAACCAAUAAGAGUUAUGGGACCCGUACCCACACCGGAAUUUUCUACUAUCGUCUCCGGAUAACACGCCACCGCAUGGGUCAAUCAGGUUCGUUUUGUAUGCUGUCACUGUAAAUACUCUGAAUAAUCCCCCAAAAAUCUCAUAAUUAUAGUUUCACUACAUAUGUCAUACCGCAAACUUUUUGAAUCGUACUAAAUAAAAUUCGGAUCACUAAAUUCUAAUAAAUGUGACAAAGUUACAAAAAGUUUAUUUAUUAUAAUUUUUAUGGUUUAAGUGGGAUUUAAAUAAAAUUAAUUUAAAAUUUUUCAAUAAAAUUAAAUAAAAACAAAAUAAAUCAUCGAUAAAAACUAUAUACAUUCAUAUUUAUUUACUUUUUUUUUUAUUUUGAUCUUCAACAAGUUUUCAAAAAUAAAACAUUCAUUUUUUCAAGGGAGAAUUAUCUUUUGGGGGUAGAUGGGCCCUCAAAUUAACAAAAGGUUCAUAUAACUCUUGAAAUUGAGUUGAAGGAUAUGAAAUAAUAACGGACAAAUAUACCCUUUAGGAACACAUAUAAAAUAUUUUAUAAAAUUAAGUUAAAUAAUUUUUUUUCAAUAACUUUUUUUUUUUCAAAAAUACUAAAUUAAAUAAAAGUAGUUUUCAAAAAUAUUAAAUUAAAUAAUUUUUUUUUUCAAAAAUAUUAAAUUAUUUUUUUUUCAAAAAUAUUAAAUUAAAUUAAAGUAUUUAAAAAAAUAUUAAAUUAAAUAUUUUUUUAAAUAUUAAAUUAAAUAAAUUUAUUUUUAAAAAAUAUUAAAUUAAAUAAAAGUAUUUUAAAAAAUAUUAAAUUAAAUCAAAAAUAUUAAAUUAAAUAAAAGUAUUUUUCAAAAAUAUUAAUUUUUUUCUCAAAAUCAACAAAGGGUAUUUUUGGAAAUAUUGAAAGAUGAUAUCCUUCAACUCAAUUUCUAUACUUUCAUUGGGUCUUGGGCUCAAUUUGAAGAGUUACAUGGACCUUUUGUUAAUUUGGGGGUCCAUCUACCCCCAAAACAUAAUUCUCCUUUUUUUCAAAUAGAGUUUCAAGUGUGACCUUGAUGCAUAUCAUCUCUAUGCGAAAUGCAGGCCCACCCUCAUGGUGUUCUCUAUUCCCUACUAAAAUAAUUAUUCCUUAGUGGAGCUAAAUAUCCCCAACUCAUUGAGGCAUCCCCAACAAUUGUCAUUAUUACAUCCUUUAUUUCCCAACAACUUUCAUGAAGAGGUAAAGGUACUUUGACAUUCUGCCUAAUAUAGCCAUGGUAAGGCUUCUUAUGAGCAUUUUGCAGUUUGGUUUGUGUAUGGGGAUCAAGCAACUUUUUAAUGUAGAGAAGACUAUACAUUGUGCUAGCAGAUUCUUCAAUGCAAACAUGUUAAUAUAAGAAUACAAACCUUAUAUUUUUAUCUACCAUAUAUUGAUAGGGAUAUUCCAAAUAGUUUCCAAUAUUCUAUAAGAUAUUUAAUUGUAAUGACAUAUACUUAGGAAUUUGAGAUACUUUCUAAUAAUUUUAGUCUCGUAUCAAAUUCAAUUAAGUUAAUCUUUCAUCUUUUCAUGAUACACGCUUUCAAAAGACUUGUUUUAACCAAAUUCUAACUCCACAUCAUGACCAAAUCUUUACUUCACAUCAUAACUUCUUUAUACGCCACACUCUCCUCAUGUGUCACAUGGUUCCUUUUGUGCACCUCAUGUGUCACAUGGUUCCUUUUGUGCACUAUAGUCUUAUCAUGUGUCACGAUUCCCUCGUGUGCUAUGGAUUUAAAAUCAUUUUUUUCCAUUUUAAACAUGUUAUUUCUUUAUAGCAUUUACUGUCUUUUUCAUUCAAGUUUCCUUUUCCUUUACUUUUAGUAGGACAUUGUUAUAAAACUCUACCUCUCACUUGGUCCGUAGGUUCCUUAUUACACUACCAACACACGCUCUAUUCAAAUUAUAGUCUAGUCUCAAUGUUAAUUUUGCAGAGUUAGACGAUACCCUUACGUGUAUUUCACCCUUGUUUGGAUGGCAAAAAAAAGUUUAGGAACUCACAACGAAGUAGGGAUUGAUGUUGAAUUUGUUAUGGGAUGAUGAAUAGAAUACUUUCCUUCUUACUCCUCUAUUCUACAUAAAUGCACAUACGGACAAGUUCGGUAUAAGUUUGUACUAACUCAAUUGGUAAGUGUCACUUUUUUAAUUAAUAGAUGUUGACAAUUUUGUCUUAAAUUAUAUAUUUUAGUUUUAGGAAAAUCGGUAUAUGUAGAGUUUAGCUUUUAGAAAACUCCCUUUUUAGGUUGACUAAGACUAGGAACUUAUUGUUUAGGAUUAGGUCUAUAAAUAUGUGGCCUACAUAGGAUUUUUUUAAGAGAGUGAAAAGAAAGUAAGUGCAUCCAAUUAAGUGAAAUUGUGUCCUUUUUCAUAUUUAGUAGAUUAUUUAACGUUUGAGAGACCACAUUUGUGUGACUGAUUUAUUUAUAUUUGCAUAAGAAUUUUACUCUCUUUAAAGAAUAAGUAUAAAGAGACAAACUUAAAAUAGGUAAUAAAAUAUUAAUUUGGGGAUUAAUUCAAAGACCACACCUUCUCUAUUUCACUUUAUUUUUUUACUGCAUUUGGAUGUUGUGAUUUUCCUAAAAAGUGGUAUCAGAGCCGUGCAGAGAUAAUGGAAAAAUUAUUUUGAUGAAAAUGUCUAACAUAAAAUAUAAUAUUGAGUUCUUUGAUGGAAAUAAUAAUUUUAGUAUUUGGCAAAGUAUUAUUAAAGAUAUUUGGGUACAACAAGAACUUCUCAAAGUGUCACAAUAAAAAAAAAAAAAAAAAAAUCAGAGAACAUGAAGAUUAAUUAGAAGCAAGAAUGGUAAGUGCUAUUUAUCUAAUUUUGAUUCCUAAAAUAAAAUACAUUUUUUAAAAAUGAGAGAUCUCUUUUUUAUUUAUGAGAAAAUUUAGAGAAAAUUUAUAAGCCAAAAUUCUUAACACAUAAAUUAUAUUUGAAGAAACAAUUAUAUGAGUUGAAGAUAGAUGAAGGAACAAAUGUUAGGAAUCAUACAAAUAAAUUCAAUAAAUGCAUGACUUAGUUAUUAAGGGUAGUGGUCAAGAUUGAUAAGAAUGAUCAAGCUAUUAUUUUCUUAGUGUCUUUACGAAAUUAUAUGAGACAUUGGUGAGUACACAAUUAGUUAGAAAGAUGAUAUUAACCAUUAAUGAUCUAUCAACUACCCUUUAAAUAUUGACCAACCAAGUAAUUCGUCUUGUACCGCACAAGCUUUUGUGGUGAAGUUUGAAUCAAAUCGUGAUAAGAGUAAAUCACAAGGAAGAUAUUAUGAUAUGAGGGAUGAUUGUUCUCAACCACACUUCUAGAGGGAUGUGGAGUUUUACUAUUGCCUCAAAAAAUGACAUAUCAAAAAGUACUAUAAAGAAUUGACAAAACACUUAGAAUCAAAGAGGUAAGCUAAAUUCUAGGAGACUUCAAAUUUUACUAAUAUUGUUGAUAAAAAGUUUGAUACAGAUAAUGUUGUUCUUUUUAUUAUAAUUGAUGAUUUUUUUUUUUUUUUUUUUUACUUUUAGAUUUUGGAUUUUGAAUGUUCUUUUCAUAUGUACCCAUAUUAUAAGUGGUUUGAUACCUAUAAGACUUGCGAUGCUAUUACUAUUAUAAUGGGCAAUGAUUCAAACUAUAAAGCUAUUGGGAUUAGUAUUGGGAAGGUGAAGAUAUUGGAUGGUGUUGUGAGGAUAUUGAGUAAUGUUAAGUAUGCUCCUAAGUCGAGGGGGAGUUCAAUUUCUUUGAAGACUUUGGACAAUUUCAACCAUGACUUUUUUGCUAAAGAAGACAUUAUGAAUAUUAGUAAAGGUGCUUUGAUAAUUAUGAAGGAAGAAAGGUGAAAAUUUCAUACACUUUGAUUGAGAAUACAAUUUUAGAUGCAAUUAUGAUGGUGAAGUCAUGCCAUGAAGUGUCUUAUGCUAGUGUUAAAGAAAUUGUCAUAGCAGAAGAGCACAAAAAAAUACUGGUAGUAGAUGAAAAACACAGAAGUGAGAUGAUCAAGGCUUUGUUUUUGGUUAAAAAUACUUAGUGGCACAAAGAUAAAGACUAAUUGAAAAAGAAAAGUUAUGAAAAAAAGAAUGUUCAUCGAGUCAAAGCUAAUGAGAGACUGAACUUGACAUAUACUUAUUCUCAUUGAUUAUGUGGUGGUGGCAAGGGGUGCAAAGAUGGGUAUCAAGGAAAAAUAACCCUACAUAUAGAUUGAGAAUUUGAAUCAAGAUGGAGAUUAUUAGUAAUUUUGACUUAAAUUAUUUAUUUUUUAUUUUUAGGAAAGCCAAUAUUUGUUGAGUUUAGGUUUUAGUAAAUUACUUUUUUAAAUUUGACUAGGAUUAGGAAACUUAUUUUUAAGGUUAGGUAUAUAAAUAUAUGGUUUUACAUUAGAUUUUAGGAGAAAGUGAAAAAAUGAGCGAAAAAUAUAGAAAGAUAGACAAAUUAUGUAUUGGGUUUUGGUAGAGUGACGUUGAGAAGGUUUGAGUAUAUAUUUUUUAAGUUACUAAUAAAUUUGAUCUCUCUCUCCCAUGAAAUCAUGUAAAUCUUUUAUCUUCUCUAUUUUACUUUAUUCUUUAUAUUGUCUUUGGGUGUUGCAAUUUCCCAAUAAUAGAAUGGUUUGAUCUUAUUUUGUUUCUAAGUAAAAUGUAAAUAAGUUAUCAGGUUAGCAAAUUAUUCAUAUACAUUAUUUUUUUUAGUCAUAUCAUCCAUGAACUUUUUCAAGGUGGCAACCUAUUUGGAAAAACCACAUUUGAUUUAAAAAAAGGAGAAUUGUGUUUUGGGCCAAUUGGGCUCAAAAAUUAAUCAAAGAUCCAUAUAUCAUGCACAUUUAAGCCCAAGACUCAAAUAAAGUGUAAAAAAUUAAGUUGAAUGAUAUUAUCCUUCGUUAAUCCCUCAAAUACCCUUAACACCUACAUAGAUAUAUAGUAAGUGUAAAUUUCAAUUUUUUUUUAAGUGUUUUUUUCUCUUUUCUAUUCCCAAUUAAGUAUUACUCAUUUCUAACUUUUUGUUUUUUCUUUUCUUUUUUAAAGAUAUUGAAUCUUUUUACUCUUAUUAUAAGUAAGGAUAAAAAAUCUUCAUAUAAAAUUUAAUGGAUAAUCAAUGAAUAAAAUUUAAUUCUUUUUAUUAUUUUCAUAUAAAAAAUAGUACUAAACAAGGGUUUCAAUUUUUAUUUUUAAAAAUAGUUUUCAUUUUUUAAUUAAAUGUUUUUUCAAAAAGAAAUAUAAAAAUAUAAAUCAUAUUACCAUUUUUUAGAAAGUAUUUUUUUUAAAUAGUUUUUGAACGUAAUUUUUCUUUAUUUAUAAUUUAAAAUAGAAAAUAAUGUUGAUUUCAAUUAUUUAAAAAAAAUUAAAAAAAAACAAUGAAAAAUCCAAAUGGUUAAAAUAGAAUUAUUAUGAUUGCAUGAAUCGUAGUGCUAUAAAGACCAAAAAAGUUUAUAUGAAAAGUUAAUGAGUAUUUUGAUCUUUUGAUAUCUUAUAUCAUUUCCAUCAAUUAUGUAAGUUAUAUGGACGAAAUCUUAAUUUUUUUGUCUAACUCGCUCAAAAUUCCAUUAUCCCUUUAAAAAAUAAAAUAAAAAUCAAAUCCUCCUUAAACAAAGGAAAGAAAAAGAAACAACAAAUCUUGAAGUGAGGUUUCAACAGAUCUUUGUUCAAUAAAGCAGCCAAGCAUUAUGGGGCUUAGUUGAAAGUACUCAUUUUCAUGAGUCCAAACAAUGAAAGAUUUGAUAUCCAGAAGCAUUCACCUAGUCAAAAAAUUUAAUGAGUUUUUCAGCUUGGUAGAGUCAGGUCAAAUCCACAUGUAGUGAUUCUACAAUUCAGAAUAUAACUGCUUCACUUGGAAAUGAUCAUCAGGAUACCAAUGCAUGAGCACCAAAUCUUCUGAACUACUUUUCUUCAUGUGUCCAGCGUAUAAGUAGAAAAUGGAUCAGUAAGUGCAGGCAUGGAACUGUUGGCAAUAAGUCUGAUCUCUCUGAAGAAGGCCUAAGCUUCCCUUUUUGCUAGUUCAAGUCUAUAGAUGUAAUAGUUCUUGGAAAUGGUAUCUGAUUUCAGACUGGUUGGUGUUGAAACCAUACCAUUUUCUUGCUGUCAUUGUGUCUUAAUGUUUUCAGCUACUUAAAGAAGAGACUGAAAGUGGGGCACCAUAGUGGUAAGUUGGUAAUCGGGGAUGAAAGAAAUGCUCAAGGUUGUAUCAGUCUUGAAUUUCAAAUUGCAUAAAAUUGGCAGAAAAAAAAAUACAAGAAUUUAAUAAGAUAGAUGUUACCUGCUCAUUGCAGGGCUAUGAAAACUCUCUAAUAGCCUAUACAUCAAACGAAACCAGUUUUUUUCAUCUUAAAAUCAAAUGUGGAACUGAAAAGGUUACACACAUAUACAUUAACCAAGAGUCUCUGAAGAACUUUUGCUCCGUGUGACUUCUUAUCGCCUUUGGAAGUUCAAUGCCUUAAUGGCAUAGGCAAAGAUAAAUAAGAAAAGCACCACAAACCCAACGACCACAGCUGCAACCACUCCUAGGAAAUCAUGUUUGAAUCCAAAGUAGUCAUUCAAGUAGUCUUUCACUGUUACACCUGUGUUUAGUUCUUCUGUUAUAUCUCCAAACUGUGAUGUAACCAAUCCAUACAAAGUCCAUGAAACUGGGCAUAUCCAAUAGUACCAUCUCCACCACACGGGUAUUCUCUGUAUUCAUCAAGGAAGAAAUGCAUCAAAAUGAGUCAUUCCUGUAUCCAUGUGGCUAAAGAAAGUUGCAAUUUAAAGAACUAUGGGUUGAGAGCACUUACAUUUCGUGGGACUAUAAAACCUGAAAAGAGGUUCCACAAUCCAUAAAAUGCUGCGGCAACAAUGGAAGCGAUAUUUUGAUUUGGUGUGGCAGCCACAGCCAUCAUGCCAUAGAAGGUGAAGUACAUUAAGGUGAAGAACAUGAAAAACAGAUACCAGAAGAACUUAGCGGCUGUCCAUUGAAAUCCAAUCAUUGCAUAAACUAUAAGACCAUACACCACGGCUUGUGAAAAGAUAUAUGGUAUCUCAACUAAAGCCUGCAACAAGAGAUGAGAUUUGAUUAAUAAAACCUAUGAAGUAUUAGAGACAGACAAAGUCUAUAGCAUAAGAAAACUAGUUACCUGUGCAAAGGCAUAUGACAGUGGUGAAUACAUUCCUGCAGCUCUUUCUCUGUAAAAGACUGUUCGUUCAACUACCACAACUGGCUGCACUGACUGGGAAUUUUGAAUCCCAAGGAAGAGAACAGCAGCAUACAUUGAACCCAUUGCAUUAAACAGAUCUUGUUGCGUUGACCUGCAUUUUACCACGUGAAGUAUAAAUCAAUGUUGAUAAAAAAGAAACAUACAGAGUUCUCAAAUUUUUGAACUGACUUCAAAUUACCAUUUGGUGCCCAGAUCCCAGAACAUUGUCCCAAACAUCAAGGCUAUGAAAGUUGUGAAGAGAAAUCUCACUGCCGUGUAUGGUGGGUUGCGCCAGUAUGACCAACGCUGUUUCCAUAAGCAUGCCAAAAAUUGGGUGAAGAAGGGCUGGGAGAAUUGAGUACGGAAAUAGAGGUCCUUUGUACCAGGGGGAGGUUGGCUCAGUUCUUUAAUUAAAUCUUUGUUUCUCCUGAAACAUAUGCCACUUGUUAGAAAAGGUUUCAACAACAAAUUUAAGUUUUCAUGAGAAACAUUAGGAUGGCUGUAUAUUAUUUUUCAAUCUUAUAAUGCAAUUAGAUAACCUAUGGUUGAAUCACCUGUAUAGGUCCGAAUUCUUGUAUAUUUCAGUGAAAUCGACCCCCAAAGUUGCUUCUUGUGCUGCGGUGGUAGCUUCCAGCAUCCAGGUUGCAGGGUUAUAACCAUCUUUGAUUUUACUGACUCCUUCAAUUCCCUUUAUGAAAGAAAGUGAUAUGCAUUAGUGAGCGCUUAAUAUGAAUUAACUCAAACUGAAGUAUUCACUUCUUAUAGCUUCUACUUCAUCAUGGCAGCUUACCUCAAAAUAAUUUAUCAGAUGGCAAGAAUAUCUGCCUAGUGGUCCCACAUAUAUCUCUUGUCCUCCUCGCUUCAGCAGGAGCAACUGCAAAUCCAUUUUAAAUAUUUCAGUACUUAUAUGCAAAGAUCAUAGAAGGGAAACUAUAAAUUCUUUCCAUCCAUUAACAUUUUCUACCUCAUCAAAGGCUUCAAAUAUGUCAAUACUUGGUUGAUGGAUGGUGCACACAACUGUUCUUCCUGUGUCCACUGUGUUCCUGACUGUUCUCAUAACAAUUGCAGCAGCUCUUGCAUCUAGCCCUGAAGUUGGCUCAUCCAUGAAUAUUAUUGAGGGAUUUGCCACAAGCUCAACAGCAAUGGUCAGCCUCUUGCGCUGCUCAGUUGAGAGACCACUUACACCUGGCAACCCAACUAGUGCAUCCCUCAAUGGGGUCAGUUCCACAAGCUCCAUGACUUCCUCAAUGAACAUCUGUAACCAUUGGCAAGGAUUAGAAAUUGUUUAAAAAACAAUGCAAAACCAUAGUAGAGAUGGUGAAAAUUUUGACAGUGCUUGGGACUCUUUACCGUCAGCAGGUUGUGAAUUCUCCAGUCUUAUUAAACAGAAGAGUUAAAAAAUGCAAAUGCUUAAUAACACUCACUAGCUUGCAUGAAAUUCACCCACUUGGGAAGGCAGGUCAAUGAAAUUUGAACCAGGAAAGGUCAAGCCAAACUUUAACCUGAUCUUAGCUCAACCAAGUUUGAAAAACCAAUUCUAGGGCCUUGCUUGUUUAGAGCAUUAAAUUGAAUAAGAAAUGCGGAAACAACUCAAGAAACCCUCACCUGUCUGGUUUCAGAUUUCACAUCAGAAGGCAACCGCAACCAAGCUGAGUAGAGCAAGGACUCAUAGACAGUAACAUGAGGAGAGUGGAUGUCAUUCUGCUCACAGUAUCCAGAAAUUCGAGCAAAAGUCUCCUGCUUCUUUGGGUAGCCAGAAAUGGUGAUGUUGCCCUCAAUAUAUCCACCAGUUUUUCGACCAGCCAAUACAUCCAUGAGGGUGGUUUUACCAGCACCACUAACCCCCAUCAGAGCUGUAAGAACACCAGGCCUGAAAGCACCACUCACCCCCUUCAGAAGCUCCAAUUUGUCUUCAACAACACCUUGACUUUUCAUCUCCUGCAAAUUCAUUUCAAACAACUCAGUUCUCAUUUUUGGUUUAUAGUACAUUAUGACAAAACUUCAGUGCUGAUAAAACAUACACAUUAUUUGCAUAAAUAUGAAGUUACCUCUGGCAUGUCAACUGAGUAUCUAAUAUCAUCGAAGGUAAUAGAAUAUGGUUGGAAUGGAAGAACCAUUCCUUUCUUCUUGUUAUGGUUAGCCCCCGCAACAGCUUCUUCCCUAACAGCUGAGGAUGUGGAUGAGAUGCUUCUCCCAAUUUCCUCUCCUCUCUCUGCAUGUCAAGUUCAAAUUUAAUGAGCCAAAUAAAAACAUGUAGUUGAAUGACAAGAACACAGGCACACAAAGGCACAUGCACCA